AUGGAAGUUGCGAAGAAGAACACCGAAGCGACCGGGAAGCGGUCGGGACUGGGCCGUUGCCGUCAUUUCUUUUGGUUGGGCAUCAUUUUCGACACGGUGGGCACGGUGGUGCUGUUCGUUGGCGUCUUUGCAGACCUGCUCUUCUACGACAUGCUGCUCUACCUGGGUUCCAUAAUCAUCUUCGUGAGCCUGCUCUGGUGGAUCUCCUGGUACACCGGCAACAUCGAACUUCCCGAAGAGACCACGGCGGCGAACUCAGAGCCCUCCACGCCCGCGGUGGAAGCUCUGCGCCAGAGCGUCAGCCACCGUUUCUCCAUGUCCAUCGGGACGGUCUCCAGCACCUUCCUACGAAUCCGCCGGCAGCGGCGCAUCCGGAGGGUCCUGCAGAGGACCGCUCACCUGAACGCCGCGGGCCAGCAGGAAAAGGACAGCAAGGGCACAGAAGAGGAGGGGAGCGGCGCCCCUCAAGAUGUGGACAAAGACAGUGUGCCUGUCACGCCCCAGGAUGGCAAAGGUUCAGAAGCAGCCGGCUCCUCAGGCCCUCCGGCUGGUAGGUCGACCCCUGUCGUGCAUCCUGUGUCCCCUCUGGACCAGCCGAAGCCUUGCCCUGUCCAGGGGUCUAAGAGUCUGCCUGUGGUCUCAUUGGGUGCUUCUCACCAGCUGCUCAGCAUUUCUGCCUCUAAGAGCCAGCCUACCCUUUCCAUGCCCGCUUCCAGCCAGCUUGCAGUUACCCUUGUCCUGGCGAGCCAGCCUGCAGUCCCCGUGGUUUCGCCGACCCACCCAGCGGUGCCUGUGGUCUCCUUGCAGAGCCACCCUCCUAUACCUGUGACAUCAAGGCAGCCUGAAGUCCCCAUGACCUCGCGGAGCUACCCACUGGUGUCUGUGGUCUCCGCGCAGAGCCCCUUUGGGCCUGUGUCCUCGAAGAGCUUCCCUCAAGUGCACUGCCUGGUGCCUGUGGCUGCUCAGAGCCACCCGCUGGCAGGCGUGGAUUGUCGGGGCAAUCUCCUUUUGUCUGUGGCCUCUCAGAGCCUCCCUCUGGUACCUGUGACCUCUCAGAGCCAUAUUCAGGUCCCUCUAACCUCGGAGGACCAGCUCAGUAAUCCUCCUGUGGACUCUCAAAGCCAGCGUUCAAGUGUACAGACUGUGCAACCCCAGGCCUCUCCAUCUAUCAAGAACUUUCGGGCUCCGUUUCACAUUCACCGGACCUCCCAGAACAUCCCUGUAGUCCAGAACCCUUCUCAGAGUCAGUCUUCACAUGGCCCGGGGGUUUCUCAGAUGAAAAUCGCCCCACCUUUUCAGAGUGUGCCACUACUCAGCCAGAAACCAACCCAAGAGCCCCCUGACACUGUGUCACCCACCCCUGAGGCCCAGCAGUCCCUUACCAGUGACAGCGCUCCAGCCGAAGUGGCAGAGAAGAAAAGCCACCCUCUCUAG
rnacentral:lncRNA from 1 species